rnacentral:tRNA from 1 species
AGCCCUGAGGUGCACUUGGCAUAUCGGAUUGCAAAUCUGAAGGCGCAGAUUAGUUGUCUGCUGGGGCUU